rnacentral:rRNA from 1 species
AUAAAGUACUUUCAGCGGGGACGGAAGGGGUUAAGGUUAAUAACCUUAGCCAUUGACGUUACCCGCAGAAGAAGCACCGGCUAACUCCGUGCCAGCAGCCGCGGUAAUACGGAGGGUGCAAUGCGUUAAUCGGAAUUACUGGGCGUAAAGCGCACGCAGGCGGUCUGUCAAGUCGGAUGUGAAAUCCCCGGGCUCAACCUGGGAACUGCAUUCGAAACUGGCAGGCUUGAGUCUCGUAGAGGGGGGUAGAAUUCCAGGUGUAGCGGUGAAAUGCGUAGAGAUCUGGAGGAAUACCGGUGGCGAAGUGCUGGCCCCCUGGACGAAGACUGACGCUCAGGUGCGAAACGCGUGGGGAGCAAACAGGAUUAGAUACCCUGGUAGUCCACGCCGUAAACGAUGUCUAUUUGGAGGUUGUGCCCUUGAGGCGUGGCUUCCGCGAGCUAACGCGUUAACAUAGGAUCCCGCUGCUCGGCAGUACGUGCCGCCAAGGUUAAAAACUCA